UAAAGGCAGACAUAUAUAGUACCCAGGAGGUGGACAAACAACUGCCUUGGUGGAAACUCUGUCCUUUCUGGACUUAUCCUGGUGCCACUGAGACUGUGCAGCAAACCAUGUAUCUGGCUCCCCUCCCACCUUCUCACCUUGGAACACCACCGGCUGUAGGCAUCUACAUGCAGCAGGAAGCAUCACUGAGUAAGUUCGACUACACAUCAAGGGUAGACACCGCACUGUCCAUCCAGCCUGCUCUGAACUGGCCCUGGGAAGGCGUGUCUGGAGAAGCUGUGUUGGAAGGAUUAGAAUAAUACACAUCUCCACACUUACCCACUCUGCAUG
rnacentral:lncRNA from 1 species